rnacentral:miRNA from 1 species
AAAUUAAGGUUUAUUUUCACUUGUGUUUUUAAAGUUUCACAUAAUAGGAAACUUUGAAAACACGCGUGAAAUUAAACCUUAAUUU